rnacentral:rRNA from 1 species
GACGAACGCUGGCGGCGUGCCUAAUACAUGCAAGUCGAGCGAAGUUUUUCUGGUGCUUGCACCGGAAAAACUUAGCGGCGAACGGGUGAGUAACACGUAAAGAACCUGCCUCAUAGACUGGGACAACUAUUGGAAACGAUAGCUAAUACCGGAUAACAGCAUUAACUGCAUGGUUGAUGUUUAAAAGUUGGUUUUGCUAACACUAUGAGAUGGCUUUGCGGUGCAUUAGCUAGUUGGUGGGGUAAAGGCCUACCAAGGCGACGAUGCAUAGCCGACCUGAGAGGGUGAUCGGCCACACUGGGACUGAGACACGGCCCAGACUCCUACGGGAGGCAGCAGUAGGGAAUCUUCCGCAAUGGGCGAAAGCCUGACGGAGCAACGCCGCGUGAGUGAAGAAGGAUUUCGGUUCGUAAAGCUCUGUUGUUAGGGAAGAAUGAUUGUGUAGUAACU